AUUUUAUUUCAACGGCUGAGAUGACUUGUUUUUAAAUCAUUAAGGGCUAAAGAUACUUUGUGAUAUUUUCAACAUCCAGCCCAAAACAAUCCUCUCUCUUUCCUGCACCCAAACAUUAUUUGCACACUUUCUCUCUCUCCAACUUCUUAGGUCUCACUCACUCUCUCUCUCUCUCUCUCCUCAGAGACCUCUCCCUCUUCUCCACUGUCACUUCGCUUCCAUCGUUGCGUCACCUCCGAUCUCCACCAACAGCCACUCUUCUCCCUCCCAGAUCUCAGAUCUCAUAUCGUCCUCCACCGUCGAGAGUUUGAUGAGUUGGCCACCAUGUCUUCCCAAAGCAAAUGCAGAGAGAUGGUUUGAUGGCUUUUGAUGGGUUUAAUCCGCAGAAAUCUGUAGAAAUUCAUAUACUAGAGUUUACUCUCUCUACAGAUUUGAUGGGUUUUGAUUUCCGGCUUUGGCACUUUCUGCUCAUCUCCGCCUUGCAUCACCCUUUCACUGCCUCAAACCCUGAAGAUAUGAAGGAUCUGUCCUCUGCCUGUGCCUUCACUUAUGACAUGGUUUACAACGGAGUUGAGGUGCAAUACUUAAUUGCUGUGGUGCUAUCAGAUUGGUGGAGGAAGCUUGAGAAUUUAUAAGCAUGAGAUUCAAGAAAAUGUUUUGGAAUUUGUUGGCAUUUCUCCUAAAUAGGCUGAAGCAAAAUUUGGCUAUCUUUUGGAGGCUUUAGACAUGGGUGCUCCUCCACAUGGUAUGAACGGCUGGCUUAUAUCUAACAUAACAACAAAUUACUAUCAUUUUGGGAUAAUUUAUUCACUGUUGGCCUGGAAGUAAAUGUCAUGCAUAAUUUAAACCUAUAUUGGUUAGGUUGAAUCAUUGUUCUGCACUAUUGAUGAACACAAGGAUUUUUUAAUGCUAGAAUGUCCAACUACUGCUCAUCUGUCUAUAUUUCUGAGUUCUCUUAAACAUUAUUUGGACCAUGGCCUCAGUCCAACAGAUAGUUAUCUAAUAUUGGAAUCGUCUAGACUGGAAUUAAGACUACUCAUCUAAUCAUCUGUCUUUUUUUUUUUUUUACUUUCUAUUUUUCUGUUUCUCUGUGAUUGGUUUAUAAUUAAGCUUUAGUAAGAGAGAAGUGUAAUAUGAAGAGUCUGAGAGCUUAGAAAAGUGAAAUGUGUGUUAUAACUAACUAAUACUGUAAUCUCACUGAAACUUAAGUGUAAUAUGUUC